AGCAGCCGCGGUAAUUCCAGCUCCAAUAGCGUAUAUUAAAGUUGUUGCAGUUAAAAAGCUCGUAGUUGAACUUCAGGCCUGGCUGGAUGGUCCGCCUUCUGGGUGAGUACUGUCUGUGGUCGGGUCCUACCUUCUGGCGAAGCGUCAUGGCCUUAACCGGCCGUGGCGGGGAGCCAGGACUUUUACUGUGAAAAAUUAGAGUGUUCAAAGCAGGCACGCGCUUGAAUACAUUAGCAUGGAAUAAUGGAAUAGGACAGUGGUUCUAUUUGUUGGUUUCUAGGACCGUUGUAAUGAUUAAUAGGGAUAGUUGGGGGCAUUAGUAUUCAAUUGUCAGAGGUGAAAUUCUUGGAUUUAUUGAAGACUAACUACUGCGAAAGCAUUUGCCAAGGAUGUUUUCAUUAAUCAAGAACGAAAGUUAGGGGAUCGAAGACGAUCAGAUACCGUCGUAGUCUUAACCAUAAACUAUGCCGACUAGGAAUCGGGUGAUGUUGACAAAAUGACGCGC
rnacentral:rRNA from 1 species